UCCGCCCCGCAGCCCGGCGGCGGGCCUGCAAGGCCCCGCUCCAUCGCAAAUAAGGUUUCUUUGAGAUUUCUGUGAGGAACGGACCCCUAUGCUGACGCAGGCGGAGCGGUGGAGCUGGAGACUCGAGAGCAGAGGGUGUGGCUCCCGCGCGAGGCUGUCAGGCUGCUGCCCAAGCAGAACCGUCGUGGGAGUUGGCGUGUGAAAAUGAAACACCUGGAGAAGAAGAAAGGCAACCUGAAUGGCAGAUGCUUUGAGUUAUUUUAAAGACCCAUCUGGAAUGAAAGGUCCUGGCAAAGACAUCCUCUGUGGGUCGGCGUCACGCUUGUGUCUUUUCCACUGUCUUCACUCAUCCACAUGGUAGAGAUCAAAGCUUCCAGAAGCUUCAAACAUGGCUAUCCAGAAAUAAGGAGCCUUUGGAAUGUGAAGGACACCACAUCACGUAUUCCAUCAAGAAGGCAAGUAAGACUGGUUCUCGAGUGACAAGGCAUCGCUGAGCAAAGAAAUCGACAGUUAGGAGCCUGGCCUGCACACAGAGUCAGCACUCUGCCAAAGUGAGACUGCUUCCCUCCAUUCUGACACCAAUUGUAAGUUCUGGAUCCCCCCAAGACAACAGUCAGGAUUGAUAAUUUGCUAGAACUCACACUGAAAGCUGUUAUACUGAGAGUUGUGGUUUGUCAUAGCAAAGGGAAAGAGAUUAAAAUCAGCCAGCAGAAGAGUGGUCUGGGAGCAGUGACCAGGAUACUCCCAGGCCUAGAGCUUCCCGCCAUCCUGUCCCAUGGAACUGUGGGCAGGGCUGGCUUCUCCCGGCAAUGACAUGUGACAAUACACAUGGAGUUUUGCCAACCAGGGAAGCUUUCUGAACCUUGGUGUUCAGAAAGAACCUUGGUGUUCAAGCUUGAACUUGAGCCGAUACCACAUGGCUCAUAGCCCCCAUGAAAAAUUACACUUAGGCUAUCAGUGUGGCCAAGGCCCCAGGUAAACAGAGAUAGUUCUAUCAGACAGGACAUUCCAGGGGCUUAGAGAUGACCUUCUAGGAGCCCAGGGCAAAGGCCCACCCUCUCUGGGUAUGGUUGGUUCUUUACUACACAACUCCCCUUUGCCCGCCUUUAGUGGUGUUGAGUCUCUGGCUUUCUUAUAGAAAAAUGACCACAUUUGUCUUAGGAUCUACAGUUAGUAUAAAUUUUAUAUGAAAGAUACAGCGAUGGUAUCAUUCUGCAUAUGCCUAAUGCUUGGAGGAUCCACUGUUGGGUAGGGAUUAAUUUAAAGAAACAAGCGAUUCAUCCUAUAAAGCCAUAAUUUUUCGUAUUUUGUACUAAUUUGAUAAUUCCUUUUCCCCUUUGAUCUACUGCUGUUUGGACCUUAUUAAGAAGUUUUGCAGAACUGUUUAUUCUAGCUCUGUGAAGAAUGCUAGUGUUUAUUUUGUUAGGGAUUGCUACAUGAAUGUGUAGUUUACUGUGGGUAGUGUGGACAUUUUAACAAUGUUUAUUCUUACAAUCCAUGAGCGUGGAAUGUUUUUCCAUUUCUUUGUGUCUUCUCUAAUUUCUUUCAUAAGUUCUCUAUAGUUUUCAGCAUACAGAUCUUUUACAUCUUUGUUUAGGUUGAUUCCUAGGUAUUUUAUGGGUUUUGGUGCGAUUGUAAAUGGGAUCAAUUCCUUGGUUUCUCUUCCUGCUGCUUCAUUAUUGGGGUAUAGAAGUGCGACAGAUUUCUGCAUGUUGAUCUUAUGUCCUGCAAUUUUGCUGAAUUCAUGUAUCAGUUCUAGCAGCUUUUUGCUGGUCUUUAGGGCUUUCUCACAGAGUAUCAUGUUGUCUGCGAAGAGUGCAAGUUUGGCUUCUUCCUUGCCAAUUUGUAUGCACCAGAAAAGACCCCAAAUAGCCAAAGUAAUGUUGAAAAAGAAAACCAAAGCUGGAGGCAUCACGAUUCUGGACUUCAGUCUGUAUCACAUGUAUCACAAAGCUGUAAUCAUCAAGACACUAUGGUACUGGCACACAAACAGAUGCAUUGAAACAGAUGUUCAAUGGAACAGAGUAGAGAACCCAGAAAUGGGCCCACAAAUGUAUGGCCAACUCAUCUUCGACAAAGGAAAAAAGAAUAUCCGAUGGGAAGAAGACAGUCUCUUCAGCAAAUGGUGCUGGGAACACUGAACAGUGACAUGCAGAAGAAUGAAUCUGGACCACUUUCUUACACCAUACACAAAAAUAAGUUCAAAAUGGAUGAAAGACCUAAAUGCAAGAUAGGAAAUCAUCAAAAUCCUAGAGGAGAAAACAGGCAGCGACCACUUUGACUUCAGCCACAGCAACUUCUUACUAGAUACAUCUCCAGAGGCAAAGGAAACAAAAGCAAAAUUGAACUAUUGAGACCUCAUCGUGGUAAAAACCUUCUGCACAGUGAAGGAAACAAACAACAAAAACCAAUGAAAUGGGAGAAGAUCUUUGCAAAUGAUAUAUUGGAUAAAGGAUCAGUAUCCAAAAUCUAUAAAGAACUUAUCAAGCUCAACACCCAAAAAACAAAUCACCCCAGUGAAACAAUGGGCAGAAGGCAUGAAUAGAAGACACUUUUCCAAAGAAAACAUCCAGAUGGCAAACAGACACACGAAAAGAUUAUUCAUCUUCAGUGAAAUACAAAUCAAAACCACAAUGAGAUACCAUCUCACACCUGUCAGAGUGGCUAAAAUUAACAACUCAGGAAACAACAGAUGUUGGCAAGGAUGUGGAGAAAGGGGAACCCUGUUACACUGUUGUUGAAAAUGCAAACUUGUGCAGCCACUCUGGAAAACAGUAUGGAGUUUCCUCAAAAGAGUAAAAAUAAGAGCUGCCCUGUGACCCAGCAAUUGUGCUACCACGAAUUUACCCAGAGGAUACAGGAGCGCUGAUUUGAAGGAAUACAUGCACCCCGAUGUUCAUAGCAGCACUUUCAACAAUAGCCAAAUUAUGGAAAGAGCCCAAAUGUCCACUGACUGACGAAUGGAUAAAGAAGAUGUGGCAUAUAUAUACAAUGAAAUACUACUCAGAGAUCAAAAAGAAUGAAAUCUUGCCUUUCGCACCAACAUGGAUGGGACUAGAAUGCAUUAUGCUAAGCAAAAUAAGUCGGUCAGAGAAAGCAAAUACCAUAUGAUUUCACUGGUAUGUUGAAUUUAAGAAACAAAACAGAUGAACAUAGGGAAAGGGAAUGAAAAAUAAAAUAGGAUAAAAAGAGAGGGAAGCAAACCGUAAGAGACUCGUAAAUACAGAGAACAA